rnacentral:rRNA from 1 species
GAUGAACGCUGGCGGCGUGCCUAAUACAUGCAAGUCGAGCGAACAGACGAGGAGCUUGCUCCUCUGACGUUAGCGGCGGACGGGUGAGUAACACGUGGAUAACCUACCUAUAAGACUGGGAUAACUUCGGGAAACCGGAGCUAAUACCGGAUAAUAUAUUGAACCGCAUGGUUCAAUAGUGAAAGACGGUUUUGCUGUCACUUAUAGAUGGAUCCGCGCCGCAUUAGCUAGUUGGUAAGGUAACGGCUUACCAAGGCAACGAUGCGUAGCCGACCUGAGAGGGUGAUCGGCCACACUGGAACUGAGACACGGUCCAGACUCCUACGGGAGGCAGCAGUAGGGAAUCCUCCGCAAUGGGCGAAAGCUUGACGGAGCAACGCUGCGUGAGUGAUGAAGGUCUUCGGAUCGUAAAACUCUGUUAUUAGGGAAGAACAAAUGUGUAAGUAACUAUGCACGUCUUGACGGUACCUAAUCAGAAAGCCACGGCUAACUACGUG